CCCUUAGAUGUUCUGGGCCGCACGCGCGCUACACUGAUGCAUUCAACGAGUCUAAAACCUGCUCUGAUAGGGGUGGGUAAUCUUUUGAAUGUGCAUCGUGAUUGGGAUAGAUGAUUGCAAUUUUUCAUCUUCAACGAGGAAUGCCUAGUAAACGCAAGUCAUCAGCUUGCAUUGAUUACGUCCCUGCCCUUUGUACACACCGCCCGUCGCUCCUACCGAUUGAAUGAUCCGAUGAAUAUCAUGGAUUGAGGAUGUAAGCAGGUUCGCCUGUCUUCAUCUUCGAGAAGUGAAGUAAAUCUUAUCAUUUAGAGGAAGGAGAAGUCGUGACA
rnacentral:rRNA from 1 species